GGGCCCGUAGCUCAGCCGGGAGAGCGCCGCCCUCGCAUGGCGGAGGUCACGAGUUCGAGUCUCGUCGGGUCCA
rnacentral:tRNA from 1 species